GACGAACGCUGGCGGCGCGCUUAACACAUGCAAGUCGAGCGAGAACCGGGACUUCGGUCCCGGGGACAGCGGCGAACGGGUGAGUAACACGUGGGUAAUCUGCCCUCGAUUCUGGGAUAGCCCGGGGAAACCCGGAUUAAUACCGGAUAGCCUUUCGAGCCUUCGGGCGCGAAAGAAAAGGUAGCUUCGGCCUCCGAUCGAGGAUGAGCCCGCGGUGGAUUAGCUUGUUGGCGGGGUAAUGGCCCACCAAGGCGACGAUCCAUAGCUGGUCUGAGAGGACGAUCAGCCACACUGGGACUGAGACACGGCCCAGACUCCUACGGGAGGCAGCAGUGGGGAAUCUUGCGCAAUGGGCGAAAGCCUGACGCAGCGACGCCGCGUGGGGAAGAAGGCCUUAGGGUUGUAAACCUCUUUCAGGUGGGACGAAGCCACUCGGGUGAUAGCCCCAGAGGGUGACGGUACCGCCAGAAGAAGCCCC
rnacentral:rRNA from 1 species